UUUUUACGAUCUAAAAUCUAAAAACGACGAGUAAAGAAAACGAAGCCGGCCAGAUUACGGCGGUGAUGGACUCGAUCGGAGCUGCUGCUGUAUACUCCACCGGCGUCGGACUCCAUUCCUCCGUUGAUCUCAACUCGUCGUUUUAUUCAACCAUUUCCAAUUCGUUCUCUUCUCCAUCUUCCUCUGUUCAUCUUCUACUACAACUUCCUCUUCUAUUCAAAUAUUAUAUGGAGUAAGUAACGAGCCAAGAUGGCUAAAGAAGUCUUCUCCUUCUAAUGAUAUAAACCAGACAAUCCUACAAACCAUGCUUCAACCCGACGCAGCUCUAUCCAAGUCACUAAGGUUUUGGUGAAAUUAGUUAAUUGGUUUCUUUGUCUGUUCUUAUAUAAGUCCUGCUUUGUAUUUAAAGCUAGUGCCUAGUAGUAUAUCACUUUUAUGUUAUGUGAUUACCUGAAUAACAAUUUUGCUUGGUUGCUGCUUCUCUAAGCUUCUGUAAAUCUCCUCCAUGGCAACUGUUUGAUCUGAUACGAUUUUGUCUUUCCUUGUUUCCUUAUUUUCAAAAGAUGAUAAAACGCUUCUCAAGAUGUUCUGAUUGAUAGCUUUUAGUGGUUUAAGGAGAUAGUGAUGAAUUCAUUCAUAGUAGCUCGAUCAGACAUGGGUGUGUUGUUUAUAUUUGAAAAGUCAAAUGUGUUUUUAACUCAUCAUCUCCAUUCCAUAUUGACAUAUAUUGUAGGCAGAAGCAAUCAGUUGGAGAUCGUGGCAACAGUCUCCUACUAAGUGUUUGGUGAAGGCUCUAACAAAGGUUCAAAUUAAUGCAAGUAUAAUUCAGAUCAAGUGCUCUGUUAUAUGGGAUUAUCCCGGACUUGGUUAGCCUCAGUGCUCUCGUGUUUAGCUUCAUCUCUAUGUCAAUGUGUGCUUCUCAGGUCAGGUCAAGAAGACAUCAUACUUACUUAACGACUGUUGAGAUGUCAAUUGUUGGAAGCCUCUGCCUCUGCUUGUUAGUAAUGUACCUUAAGUUAAAAGAUGGUGACGCGAUGAAAAGAUGGUUUUUCUUUGAUAUGGUUGGACUGCUUUAACAUUGGUAUUGGUGACGUGGAAAAAGGGUGGGAGAUCACGUGAUUCUUUAGGAAUAAUAGCACUUGUUUGUUGAUUUUUAUCCCAAAGUCUACAAGGGUACGUAUGUGUACGCGGGUUCGAUCGCAAGACGAGAGGACCUAAACCUCUGAUUGCUAGACUCCACUUCCCAGCAAGCAAACUGAAGGCACAUCAAGCUUGAUACUAUUUUGUUCCUAUCUAGUUCUCAUAAAAGUUUGAAGUUUAAAACAAGAGCUGUUUAUUACAAAGUUAUAGAAGUUCAUUACUUUUGUUGAUUGGUUUUUUAAUCAUCGUUGUUUAUAUUUUUUUUUUAAAAAAAAAUAAACAGAGAAAAAUGAUCACAUGA